rnacentral:rRNA from 1 species
UCUUCCAGUAUGGGGAGCAAAACAGCUAUGGGUCAAGUCCGAUAUCUUUAGGAGAAGUCUUAUUGUGAGGGCGAGUUAUAUAACACCAUAGGACUGGCCGUCCCAUAUGAAAAGAUUAUAUUAGAAUUGAAUGAAGCUUUGUUUAUAUAUUGAUAAUGACAGUAUAUAUAUCGUGUCUUGACUAAUUGCGUGCCAGCAGUCGCGGUAAUACGUAAGAGACUAGUGUUAUUCAUCUUAAUUAGGUUUAAAGGGUACCCAGACGGUCAAUAUAGCUUAUAAAAUGUUAGUACUUGACUAGAGUUUUAUGUAAGAGGGCAGUACUUGAGGAGGAGAGAUGAAAUUUCGUGAUACCAAAGGGACUCUGUAAAGGCGAAGGCAGCCCUCUAUGUAAAAACUGACGUUGAAGGACGAAGGCACAGAGAACAAACAGGAUUAGAUACCCAAGUAGUCUUUGCAGUAAAUGAUGAAUGCCAUAGGUUAGAUGGGUCAAUUAUAGUCUAGGGUUAGUCUAGCAAACUAAUACCCUAUUCUAUAAUUCCUUAUCUGGUCUAUAAAUGAAAGUGUAAGCAUUUCACCUCAAGAGUAAUGUGGCAACGCAGGAACUGAAAUCACUAGACCGUUUCUGACACCAGUAGUGAAG